CUUGCAACCAACCCAAUCCCAGCACGUAGCUAAGCAUCACUCGACCAGCGCCAAUCUCCAUCUCCAUCUCCAUCUGACCAAGACGAAGAAGGUAGCAGUAGCAGAGCUCCAUCAAUGGCGGGCGUCGGUCGCAACAUGGUGGCGCCGUUGCUGGUGCUGAACCUCAUCAUGUACAUCAUCGUCAUCGGGUUCGCGANNNNNNNNNNNNNNNNNNNNNNNNNNNNNNNNNNNNNNNNNNNNNNNNNNNNNNNNNNNNNNNNNNNNNNNNNNNNNNNNNNNCUACCGCGGGUGGCGGCUCCGCGUGCUGGAGGCGUUCGUCAUCAUCCUCGCCUUCACGCAGCUGCUCUACGUGCUUGCUCUCCACNNNNNNNNNNUGCCGGGGUCGUCGGCGCGGCAUCCAAGCUCGCCGGAGUGCACCACGUCCGUACCUGGCGUGGGGACAGCCUCGCCACCUCCGCCUCUUCUUCGCUGGUGGCCUGGGCGAUUACCGCCUUGGCCUUCGGGCUGGCGUGCAAGGAGAUCCACGUCGGCGGGUACCGGGGGUGGCGCCUCAGGGUGCUGGAGGCGUUCGUCAUCAUCCUCGCCUUCACGCAGCUCCUGUACGUGCUUGCUCUCCACUCUGGGCUCUUCGGAAACCAGUUUGGUAAUAACAAUGGUGGGUAUCCGGCGGAGCACGCUUACGGCGCCGGCGUCGGUGACCACCACAACAAGGGCAUGGACACCGGCGGCGUCGCAAGGGUCUAAAUAGGAUAGACUUGGCCGUGGCAAGCGACGGGUGGAUAAUAAGUUGUACUGUACUAGUACGUAUUUGUGUUAGUUGUGUCACGUACGGUUAGAGAGCAGAAGAGUAGGUUGUAUGCAUCGUCGAUCCAUGGCAUGGCAGUGGGGUAUGUGUGUGAGCAUAGUACGCAUGUACUACUCAUGGUUCCCUUCUUUUUUUAGGGGGACCUGGUAUUACAUACGCACGUACAUGCAUGUUGUACUACCGGCUGGUUCUUGUUAGUGUUUUAUAAAUGAAUGGAAAAUCUAAGUGGUGCGCCGUGUUCUUACCUAACCAUUCUUUGCAGGUCGUGUUCCUUAAUUUCCAAAUCUUUCUCGAGAUACAUGUCGGCUACACGCAUGGAUCGACAUGAAUCUUCACAAGUUAUGUUAGAUUUUCUAUGUCAAGUUCUAUCUAUUCCAUUUGCAUGUUGUAUUUUUUCUCCAUGUUGUUGGUUCCAUUCUUUCAAAUAAUUUUGCUGGUUCCAUUCUUUCAAAUAAGCCGAACGAGCAGUGAACGUUCCAUUUUUAUAUCUUCAAUUAUUUAUAACUCUUAAUUAUAGCUCCAAGCAAUAAAAAUCCGUCAUGUUAUUCAUGGGCAAUGGAAUUGCAAGUACCCUUUACGAUUGUUUCACCAAAUCUUCAUCCCAUGAGUUUGUGACUGGAUCAAUCCAAGCAAAGAAUCUUUUUUUAAGUUGCACUCGUUAAAUCGCUAUCCUAAAAAUAUUUUGCUCUCAAGAUAACAGCACAUAAGGAGUCAGGGUUGUCAAUGAGACACCACGCUUGUUUUGCUAAUAAUGCAAGGUUGAAAUAAUGUAUAUUUCUGAAACUCAUCCUUCUUUGUUCUUUUGGGACACACAUCUCCCACCAGACCAUUCAAUGCAUUCUUUUUUAUUGUCCUCGUCACCCCAUCAGAAUUGUAAUGCAUUCUUUUUUAUUGUCCUCGUCACCCCAUCAGAAUUGUAACAUCGCGUCAUUCUUUUCUGAUUGUCCUCGUCACCCCAUCAAAAUUGUAACAUCGCGUCAAUGUUUCCUUUAUAAUUUUGUUUAGGAAUUUUAAAGACCACAUGGCAUACACUGCAUGGGAACCCUACCAUGCUGAGUGACACUGGCUAAUAGACACAUGAAAAUUUUACCAAUCUAUCCAUCAUGCUCAAAAGGUCCGGAAAAUACAAAACAUAUUCUGUUUCGUGCGAGAAGGCGAAAGAAGUUUGAAAAAAAAUCAGGCAUGUAUGAUGUCAUCAAUAGAGCAUGUGGUGUUGAUAGGGCGGAAGAGACGGUUCUAGAAUUCUUACUUCUUAUGCAAGAUCAGGAACUAACUAUUCUGGGCAUCCAGAAUGCUCUUACUUCUUAUGCAAGAUCAGGAACUAACUGUUCUGGGCAUCCAGAAUGCACGUGAGUUGAUCACUAUAACAGCUUGGUAUUUGUGGUGGGACAGCCGAAAACUGGUUUAUGAAGGAAAGAUCCAAGAUGCAAAUCAAACUUCAAUGGAAGCUCUUCUUAUGCAAGAUCAGGAACUAACUAUUCUGGGCAUCCGGAAUGCUCUUACUUCUUAUGCAAGAUCAGGAACUAACUAUUCUGGGCAUCCAGANNNNNNNNNNAAAGCUCCGGCCAUAACGACAAAUUUCGUCAAUGCAUAUUCUCCCAAAGCAACCAAUAAGAUUGGGCUUAUUGGGGGAUGGACUAUCACUCGUAGGGGUUUUGUGAAGAUGAACAUUGAUGCCUCUUUUGAUCACGACUUCCUCCAAGGGACGGCUGGGGCGGUUAUUAGAGAUGAUAACGGAAAUUUCAUCGUUGGUGGAUACUGGAGAAUCGAUUGGUGUACUGAUGUCUUAAUAGUCGAAUCUUUGGCUCUAAAGUUUGGACUAUUGCUUGCACAAAAGGCGGAUUGCAAUCACGUGAUAGUAAACUCGGACAAUAUGAAAGUGAUUGAUACAAUGAAUAAUGGAGGACAAUGGGCAGGACCGGCACGACAGUUUUUGAUGACUGCUAUAUUUUGACUUGUGAUUUUCCUCAAAUUAGCUUUCAACGUUGUAAUAGGAAAGCCAAUAAGGUGGCUCAUGAAAUUGCCAGGAUAGCGAAAUUUUCACCCACUAGAGAUUGGUUUGAGGAGCCAAUGAAUGAUAUUGUAUAUUUUCUUUGGACGAUGUAACUAUUAUUUUUAAUUAAUAAAGUAGAAGUUUUAUUUCAAAAAAAUGCGGGGAGGGUUGUAGAACGGGGCACGAUUUUGAGGUGGUGGGUCGGAGGUACAUGGGGAUCACGGACAGGCGCUGCCACUGUUUUAUCUAUGAAAAUUCAUUUUCUAAACUUCUGUUGCUAUACAUCAUGGGUGACUCUGCUACAAUUUGUUUUUGUAUCUUCUGUAACUGAUAACUAGCUCAAUUUGUUCUGGUAAAAUUUUCUAGUAUUUCAAAUAUGUACCCACACUAGUUUCUACAUUACCGGGUGGUUGCCACAUUACCAACUCACCCCCCCACCACCACCACCAAAUUUAAAUCACCACAUAUUAGAAUGGGAUAAGAUGCAUCAUCUAAAAUGUCAUCCAAUUCAACAAUAAAAUCCAUUUUGAACUCAUGGUAAGAAGAACCAUACACAACAACUAAUUGCCACACAAAACCAUCAGCUUUAGAUAUAAUUGUAGAAACCACACCAAACUCUUUAUUUGAGAAACCAUUGACAUCAAAUAUGUCAUUCUUAAAACCAACCAAAAAAACAACCAGCUGUAAAUGCCAAGUAAAUGAACUAAUUUUAUCAAUAGCCUUGCGGGUGCUCAUGAUAGGAUGCAGCUCCACAUACUCCUUUCUUUCAUGAUGGUCCUUCAAAAUCUUCUCCAAUACGCGCUCCCCUUUUUGCUCUGUGCCACUUAUUGGAUCCGAUGUUGUGUUCAAUCAAGAUUUGACCAACAAAAUAUCCUCAUAUCUUGAGAAAGCAAGCCCUCUUGCCUUCAUCGUCUUGCCCUUCUCCUUCUUCUUGGUAGGAUUGGGAACAGAUGUUGCCCCAAUCACAAAAGCGCCCGUCUCCUCCAUUUCAUAUUCUACAUGGACCGGAUCUUCAUUCUCAUUGAUCAUACUUGCCAAGUAUGUCUCCUAGAGGUUCAUGGUUUGCAACCAAUAAUCUUGUGCAAACUAGUGAACUAUGCGAAACAUUAAUCAUUAGAUCGGACAGGAGCAAACGUAUCCGGUGUUGUUGAGACAUUUUGUCGAACAUGUUGAGUGCAAUCCGGGUGGUGGGGUUGACCGUGCUCACCCGCUCCUGAACGAGUUGCAGGGACUCACACUCAUGGACCGACGGCUGCUGCAUGAUCGGAAAGCUCUCCGGAAGGGUCCAGCCGGCCGUCUCAUCCUCCUCCUCCUUGGUCUCGACGGUGUCGAACGACACAAUCCCCGCCGGCGCUUGCAUGGAUGGGGUGAGGGGAGCCUGACGUGUCAGAGGAGACAUCUGGUCGACGAAGCCCGUAUGUACCUAUGCAGCCAACUCCUUCUGUCGCUGUCGGCGGCGGCGCAACUUACGGCGAUGUUCUCCGGCUUGCAAGACGAAGCGGAGGAAGGGUUGCCGACGGACGAGGCGGACUGCGUCUUCGUCGCGGCGGUCGGGGACGGGAUGGAAGACAUCACAGCGGCGGGGUGGUGAGGAUGGAGAGCAAGGGUGUUGGAAGGCGAGGGGUCGAGCGCGGGAAAUGUUGGUGAGCGGCGGGAGGAGGAGGAAGGGUUUGAGGGAUUUAGUGCAAUUUGAGGUAGGGUCGGGUUGUCGGGUCUGAUGUGGCUGGCGUGCCCGAGCGCACCCAGGCUCCUCCAUAUUUGGGCUGAAAAUGAGGGUGUCGGUGAGCCCGAACGUUUGAGGCCGGUUUAAGAUGUCCGUCUAGAUCGAAAUUUUGUAACCGGACGACUUGUCCAAGCGUUGAGGGGUUCGGCUAUAAAUGCUCUUAACCUCAUUUGCGGCAGGCACAUUCAAAAUAUUUAGGAAUGACAUUUGCAUUCGUAUUCAAUCAUGCAAUGACAAACUGUUUGUGCAGAUAGCACAUAGUAUCUAUUUUGGUCAAAUAAACGCCACUACUCUUGCGUUACCUGUUUUGUUUUAGUAUCCCGAUAAAUCCUAAACGGUCGGAUUUUAAACAUGUCAUCGAACGUUUUCUCAUGACAAGUUAAAUUAUAAAAAAAUGUUAUAUUUUCAUUGAGGCGGCAAUUUAGUUGUUAAAACAUAAUAAUUUUGUUCCAGUUUAUUUUAUUAUAAAAAAAUUGUUAUAUUUGCCAAGCUCGCGUGAACUACACUUGUCAUUAAAACCGUUGGGAUUGGCAUGCUUAAAAUCCAUAGGUUUGAGAUUUAUCAUUUUCAUUGUUUAAUGUAAUUUUUUUUUAUCUUAUUGUAGUUAUUAUGGUUGAUGGUAAGAUACUCCUAGAGAAGUAGCCUUGAAGAAUAGCUUUUGUUUUAGAUGUCUUGAAGAAGAGCUUUGACACGGAAGCAAAGCGUACCAACGAGGACCCACACCCGUCUACUUCUACUUUCUACUGGAGUAGUGGUCAGGAAACGCAUUGCCAAGCGGAACCACCCGUACGCUGCCAACUCCAAGCAGCUUCUCCGUGUAGAAGCAGGCACGCGUCGCAGCACCUACAAGCGGCGCAUCACACGUGUCCCACACCUCAAUCCCUACUACACACCUCUCCAUAUAUUCAUCCCACUCCACCACCUCAUCCAGAAAUCAUCAUUCGAUUCGAUUCUUGCUUGCACCAAAUCCAAUCUCAUCAAUCGACCAAAUCCAAUCCAGUGAGACACGCAGCUCCAUCCCCAUCUCGACCUCGACCGAGAAGAAGAGGAAAGAAGCUGGGCAGCAGCAAUGGCGGGCGUCGGUCGCAACAUGGUGGCGCCGCUGCUGGUGCUGAACCUCAUCAUGUACAUCAUCGUCAUCGGGUUCGCGAGCUGGAACCUCAACCACUUCAUCAACGGCAUCACCAACCGCCCCGGCGUAGGCGGCAACGGCGCCACCUUCUACUUCCUCGUCUUCGCCAUCCUGGCCGGCGUCGUCGGCGCCGCGUCCAAGCUCGCCGGCGUGCACCACGUCCGCACCUGGCGCGGCGACAGCCUCGCCACCUCCGCGUCCUCUUCGCUGNNNNNNNNNNGGGGGAAGAAGACCCCCUUUAUAUAGUGGGGGAAAGAAUCAGACCGUUACCCCCACUCUCUGCCCGAGCUCCAGCGGUACUACCGCUGGCUGCAGCGGUACUACCGCUGGCACUCCAGCGGUACUACCGCUGGCCCCAGCGGUACUACCGAUGGGCCCCUGGUGGUGCAAAGGCACUACCACCGCCAAGAAAGUCUUCGCAAAAAGGUCCGUCCACGAACAACCGCUAGGCAGGCGGUACUAAGCUCCUGGAGCGGUACUAUCGCUAACCAGGGGCGGUACUACCGCCAGCCAGCGGUACUACCGCUAGGGCCAGCGGUACUACCGCCAACUCUAGCGGUACUACCGCUAGGUCGAGCGGUACUAUCGCUCGCCACUGAAACAGCCAUAACUUUCGCAUACGAGCUCCGAAUCGAGCAAACCCAAGCUUGUUGGAUUCAGGACGACAAGGGCUAUCCAAACAGCGACUGGAAAUCUUAAGACCAUGCGGUUAUGAAUAUGCCAAAGAUAUAGAGAUGUGAGAUCUCUAUGAAUGAAGAACCGGCAAAAACUCCAACAUCGAAAACAUCAUAGUAGAUGCAUAUGGACUCCGUUUUCGAUGAACUCGAGCUUGUCACGAAGAUGACCAUAAGCUCUAAAACUCACAAAGAGAAACACCAAACAAGAACCAAGAAGUAUGAUGCAAGGAUGCAAAUGGUUUGAGCUCUCAACGAACGAUACGAUCAAGCUACUCACUUGAGAGCCCCCCUUGAUAGAACAGCAAUCUAUCCUAACCAGAAAACCUAUCAAGGGCAGACCUAUACCUUGCACCUCGUCCUCUUGAGCUAGAUGAUGAUGAUCUUGGCUUCCUCAAGAUGGACCACCUUUCUUGAUUGUGUUGGCUUGAUGAAGACUAGUUGAUUGCUCCCCCAUACUCACUAUGGGUGAGCCACUCUUCAGCAUAUCUUCACAAGUCCAUUGCCACCACAAUGGACGGUAAGCUUCAAGCAUGCUAUCUUCGUGCUGAUCCACUUGAACUUGCACAUCGCAAUCUUGAUGACGAUCACAACUUGACGUCAUACUCCAUGGGUUGUAUGAGAUCUUCCCUUUGACGCAAGCCCAUGUAAACACACCUAACCCCACAUAGAACUCUCACGAAGACCAUGGGUUAGUACACAAACACGUAAUGGACAAUGCUUACCAUACCAUGGGAUCACUUGAUCCCUCUCGGUACAUCUUGUACGCUUUNNNNNNNNNNUGGUCAUCAUAUAAACUCCUUGAACCCAACAGAUGAACUUCAAGAAGUGCCUAUGGACAAAUCCAUACCAUGGGAUCACUUGAUCCCUCUCGGUACAUCUUGUACGCUUUGUGUAUUGAUCAUCUUGAUUUACUCUUUGUCUGAGAUCUUGAUCAACCAUGUGUCUCUAUGACCAUUCUUUGGAUAAUACCUUGAAUACCAUCUUGGUCAUCAUAUAAACUCCUUGAACUCAACAGAUGGACUUCAAGAAGUGCCUAUGGACAAAUCCUAUAAAUGUAACUUAAGGCAACCAUUAGUCCAUAGGAAUUGUCAUCAAGUACCAAAACCACAUAUGGAGAUAUAUGCUCCAACAGAGGGGGCAGAGCACGGGCGCGAGGUUGUGCCUGCGAGGUCGCUCCGGCGGACGGUCCGGUGGAAGGUGAGGGUGGCGUUCGUGGCCGGUGGGGGCAACGGGGGUCAGCGGCUUGGUUGGUGGCGGUGGACGGGAUGGCGCUGGAGUCGGCAAUGGCGAGGUGGGGAAACAGGGGAGGGGGCAGACACGGACAGUUGUGGGGCGUUAAUUGGAGUGGAUUACGCGCGGGAUUUAGGAAAUACGGUUUUAGUUUCUAAAUCGCAGAUGAAUCUGGAGCGUCGGGAUUCUUCUGGAUCGACGGGAGAAGAUGGGUCUGACGAUUGGAAUCGUUCCAGACUAUGGAUACUAAGUGUUUUCCUUAUUUUUAUGUGCAAAAAGUUGAAAAGACCCUCGUGUUUACUUGAAGCUAAAUGGUAAGCGCCGAGGAAGGAAGAUGAUAAGAUUGCAUGGAGCGAGCAGUGCAACUUAAUUAGGAUCCAAGGAAACGUACGUUUGCGUUACGUGAGCUGAUUAUUCUACUACUAGUUCUAGUUCUAGUUCUAGUGUGGUGGUGGUAAAACUAUAAACCGUGGGCGGUGGGCACGCCACGUACGUACGGUCUCCAAGCCGCUGCUGGAAGCGUCUGCCAACGGCUGGAAGAAGCAGAGUGUAAAGCCCAUGCACCACGCGUCACGCCACCUUCGUCCGCGUCACACGUGUCCCUUCGAUACAUUCUAUAUAAGAAACCUUGGCACCUCAUCCACAAAUCACAUCCAUCCUCGUACGUCUAGCUAGCAAUCAACCUCCAAUCACAACUUGAUUUCUUCCAACCCAACCUAGUUAGUUCUCAGCAGUGAGUGGCAGACACAGAGCUCCGUCUCGAUCCAUCUCCACGGAAUCAAGAAGAUAUAUCAACAAUGGCGGGCGUCGGUCGUAACAUGGUGGCGCCGCUGCUGGUGCUGAACCUCAUCAUGUACGUCAUCGUCAUCGGGUUCGCGAGCUGGAACCUCAACCACUUCAUCAACGNN
rnacentral:lncRNA from 1 species